rnacentral:rRNA from 1 species
GACGAACGCUGGCGGCGUGCUUAACACAUGCAAGUCGAACGGUAAGGCCCUUCGGGGUACACGAGUGGCGAACGGGUGAGUAACACGUUGGUGAUCUGCCCUGCACUUCGGGAUAAGCCUGGGAAACUGGGUCUAAUACCGGAUAGGACCACUGCCUGCAUGGGUGGUGGUGGAAAGCUUUUGCGGUGUGGGAUGGGCCCGCGGCCUAUCAGCUUGUUGGUGGGGGGAUGGCCUACCCAGGCGACGACGGGUAGCCGGCCUGAGAGGGUGACCGGCCACACUGGGACUGAGAUACGGCCCAGACUCCUACGGGAGGCAGCAGUGGGGAAUAUUGCACAAUGGGCGCAAGCCUGAUGCAGCGACGCCGCGUGAGGGAUGACGGCCUUCGGGUUGUAAACCUCUUUCAGCACCGACGAAGCGCAAGUGACGGUAGGUGCAGAAGAAGGACCGGCCAACUACGUGCCAGCCGCCGCAGUAA